CGACGACAAGGCAAACCCGCCGCGAGGCGGGGACGCAAAGCCACGGGGCCCUCGAGGUCAGCCGGGCCGCCGAAC
rnacentral:ncRNA from 1 species